rnacentral:miRNA from 11 species
UGUAUGUAUGUGUGUAUGUGCGUGUAAGUGUAUACACACACUCAUUUGUAUAUACUGUACUCA